AGAGUUUGAUCAUGGCUCAGGAUGAACGCUGGCGGCAUGCCUAAUACAUGCAAGUCGAACGGACUCUUGUUUGAGAAAAUCCCCAUCCUUUUGGAGAUUUCCUUGAACUAAGAGUUAGUGGCGGACGGGUGAGUAACACGUUGAUACCUGCCCUAAAGUGGGGAAUAACUCCGAGAAAUCGGGGCUAAUACCGCAUGUGGUCCUUCGGGAUUAAAGACUUCGGUCGCUUUAGGAGGGGUCUGCGUCUGAUUAGCUAGUUGGUAGUGUAAUGGACUACCAAGGCGACGAUCAGUAGCUGGUUCGAGAGGAUGACCAGCCACACUGGGACUGAGAUACGGCCCAGACUCCUACGGGAGGCAGCAGUAAGGAAUCUUCCGCAAUGGACGAAAGUCUGACGGAGCAAUGCCGCGUGCAGGAUGACGGCCUUCGGGUUGUAAACUGCUUUUAUAUGGGAAGAUUGUGACGGUACCAUAUGAAUAAGGACCGGCUAACUACGUGCCAGCAGCCGCGGUAAUACGUAGGGUCCAAGCGUUAUCCGGAAUCACUGGGCGUAAAGCGUGCGUAGGCGGGUAUUUAAGUGAGACGUGAAAUCCUGGGGCUCAACCCUAUGGACUGUAUCUCAUACUGGAUACCUAGAGGACGGCAGAGGCAAGUGGAAUUACUGGUGUAGCAGUGAAAUGCGUAGAUAUCAGUAGGAACACCAAUGGCGAAGGCAGCUUGCUGGGCCGUUUCUGACGCUAAGGCACGAAAGCGUGGGGAGCGAACAGGAUUAGAUACCCUAGUAGUCC
rnacentral:rRNA from 1 species